UACGUAGGGUGCGAGCGUUGUCCGGAAUUAUUGGGCGUAAAGGGCGCGUAGGCGGCUUGGCAAGUGGAUGGUGAAAUCCCUCGGCUUAACCGAGGAACUGCCGUCCAAACUGCUUCGCUUGAGACCGGGAGAGGUGAGUGGAAUUCCCAGUGUAGCGGUGAAAUGCGUAGAUAUUGGGAGGAACACCAGUGGCGAAGGCGGCUCACUGGCCCGAUACUGACGCUGAGGUGCGAAAGCGUGGGGAGCAAACAGGG
rnacentral:rRNA from 1 species